rnacentral:rRNA from 1 species
GUGUGUUCCAGGUAAAUCCGGUUCACUUUAACACUGAGGCGUGACGACGAGGCACUACGGUGCUGAAGCAACAAAUGCCCUGCUUCCAGGAAAAGCCUCUAAGCAUCAGGUAACAUCAAAUCGUACCCCAAACCGACACAGGUGGUCAGGUAGAGAAUACCAAGGCGCUUGAGAGAACUCGGGUGAAGGAACUAGGCAAAAUGGUGCCGUAACUUCGGGAGAAGGCACGCUGACACGUAGGUGAAGUGAUUUACUCAUGGAGCUGAAGUCAGUCGAAGAUACCAGCUGGCUGCAACUGUUUAUUAAAAACACAGCACUGUGCAAACACGAAAGUGGACGUAUACGGUGUGACGCCUGCCCGGUGCCGGAAGGUUAAUUGAUGGGGUCAGCGCAAGCGAAGCUCCUGAUCGAAGCCCCGGUAAACGGCGGCCGUAACUAUAACGGUCCUAAGGUAGCGAAAUUCCUUGUCGGGUAAGUUCCGACCUGCACGAAUGGCGUAAUGAUGGCCAGGCUGUCUCCACCCGAGACUCAGUGAAAUUGAACUCGCUGUGAAGAUGCAGUGUACCCGCGGCAAGACGGAAAGACCCCGUGAACCUUUACUAUAGCUUGACACUGAACAUUGAGCCUUGAUGUGUAGGAUAGGUGGGAGGCUUUGAAGUGUGGACGCCAGUCUGCAUGGAGCCGACCUUGAAAUACCACCCUUUAAUGUUUGAUGUUCUAACGUGGACCCGUUACCCGGGUUGCGGACAGUGUCUGGUGGGUAGUUUGACUGGGGCGGUCUCCUCCUAAAGAGUAACGGAGGAGCACGAAGGUUGGCUAAUCCUGGUCGGACAUCAGGAGGUUAGUGCAAUGGCAUAAGCCAGCUUGACUGCGAGCGUGACGGCGCGAGCAGGUGCGAAAGCAGGUCAUAGUGAUCCGGUGGUUCUGAAUGGAAGGGCCAUCGCUCAACGGAUAAAAGGUACUCCGGGGAUAACAGGCUGAUACCGCCCAAGAGUUCAUAUCGACGGCGGUGUUUGGCACCUCGAUGUCGGCUCAUCACAUCCUGGGGCUGAAGUAGGUCCCAAGGGUAUGGCUGUUCGCCAUUUAAAGUGGUACGCGAGCUGGGUUUAGAACGUCGUGAGACAGUUCGGUCCCUAUCUGCCGUGGGCGCUGGAGAACUGAGGGGGGCUGCUCCUAGUACGAGAGGACCGGAGUGGACGCAUCACUGGUGUUCGGGUUGUCAUGCCAAUGGCACUGCCCGGUAGCUAAAUGCGGAAGAGAUAAGUGCUGAAAGCAUCUAAGCACGAAACUUGCCCCGAGAUGAGUUCUCCCUGAGACUUAAAGUCUCCUGAAGGAACGUUGAAGACGACGACGUUGAUAGGCCGGGUGUGUAAGCGCAGCGAUGCGUUGAGCUAACCGGUACUAAUGAACCGUGAGGCUUAACCU